rnacentral:misc_RNA from 1 species
GAAAUGCGAUAAGUAGUGUGAAUUGCAGAAUUCAGUGAAUCAUCGAAUCUUUGAACGCACAUUGCGCCCCUUGGUAUUCCAUGGGGCAUGCCUGUUCGAGCGUCAUUUGUACCCUCAAGCUCUUCUUGGUGUUGGGUGUUUGUCCCCGUCUCCGCGCGUGGACUCGCCCCAAAGUGAUUGGCAGCCGGCGUACUGGUCCCGGAGCGCAGCACAUGUCGCGCAAACGAGUGCCUUGGUACGGCGGCGUCCAUAAGCCCCUCUCUCACGCUCUUGACCUCGGAUCAGGUAGGGAUACCCGCUGAACUUAAGC